UCCGUAACGAGCGCAACCCUUGUCCUUAGUUACCAGCACGUAUGGUGGGCACUCCAAGAGACUGCCGGUGACAACCGGAGGAAGGUGGGGAUGACGUCAAGUCAUCAUGGCCUUACGGCCUGGGCUACACACGUGCUACAAUGGUCGGUACAAAGGGUUGCCAAGCCGCGAGGUGGAGCUAAUCCCAUAAAACCGAUCGUAGUCCGGAUCGCAGUCUGCAACUCGACUGCGUGAAGUCGGAAUCGCUAGUAAUCGUGAAUCAGAAUGUCACGGUGAAUACGUUCCCGGGCCUU
rnacentral:rRNA from 1 species